GCCUGGCUGGCUCUGUCGGAAGAGCAUGCGACUCUUGAUCUCGGGGUCGUAAGUUCAAACCUCACGUUGGGCG
rnacentral:tRNA from 1 species